rnacentral:rRNA from 1 species
UUAAAUUGAAGAGUUUGAUCAUGGCUCAGAUUGAACGCUGGCGGCAGGCCUAACACAUGCAAGUCGAACGGUAACAGGAAGCAGCUUGCUGCUUCGCUGACGAGUGGCGGACGGGUGAGUAAUGUCUGGGAAACUGCCUGAUGGAGGGGGAUAACUACUGGAAACGGUGGCUAAUACCGCAUAACGUCGCAAGACCAAAGAGGGGGACCUUCGGGCCUCUUGCCAUCAGAUGUGCCCAGAUGGGAUUAGCUAGUUGGUGAGGUAACGGCUCACCAAGGCGACGAUCCCUAGCUGGUCUGAGAGGAUGACCAGCCACACUGGAACUGAGACACGGUCCAGACUCCUACGGGAGGCAGCAGUGGGGAAUAUUGCACAAUGGGCGCAAGCCUGAUGCAGCCAUGCCGCGUGUAUGAAGAAGGCCUUCGGGUUGUAAAGUACUUUCAGCGGGGAGGAAGGUGUUGUGGUUAAUAACCACAGCAAUUGACGUUACCCGCAGAAGAAGCACCGGCUAACUCCGUGCCAGCAGCCGCGGUAAUACGGAGGGUGCAAGCGUUAAUCGGAAUUACUGGGCGUAAAGCGCACGCAGGCGGUCUGUCAAGUCGGAUGUGAAAUCCCCGGGCUCAACCUGGGAACUGCAUUCGAAACUGGCAGGCUUGAGUCUUGUAGAGGGGGGUAGAAUUCCAGGUGUAGCGGUGAAAUGCGUAGAGAUCUGGAGGAAUACCGGUGGCGAAGGCGGCCCCCUGGACAAAGACUGACGCUCAGGUGCGAAAGCGUGGGGAGCAAACAGGAUUAGAUACCCUGGUAGUCCACGCCGUAAACGAUGUCUACUUGGAGGUUGUGCCCUUGAGGCGUGGCUUCCGGAGCUAACGCGUUAAGUAGACCGCCUGGGGAGUACGGCCGCAAGGUUAAAACUCAAAUGAAUUGACGGGGGCCCGCACAAGCGGUGGAGCAUGUGGUUUAAUUCGAUGCAACGCGAAGAACCUUACCUGGUCUUGACAUCCACAGAACUUUCCAGAGAUGGAUUGGUGCCUUCGGGAACUGUGAGACAGGUGCUGCAUGGCUGUCGUCAGCUCGUGUUGUGAAAUGUUGGGUUAAGUCCCGCAACGAGCGCAACCCUUAUCCUUUGUUGCCAGCGAUUAGGUCGGGAACUCAAAGGAGACUGCCAGUGAUAAACUGGAGGAAGGUGGGGAUGACGUCAAGUCAUCAUGGCCCUUACGACCAGGGCUACACACGUGCUACAAUGGCGCAUACAAAGAGAAGCGACCUCGCGAGAGCAAGCGGACCUCAUAAAGUGCGUCGUAGUCCGGAUUGGAGUCUGCAACUCGACUCCAUGAAGUCGGAAUCGCUAGUAAUCGUGGAUCAGAAUGCCACGGUGAAUACGUUCCCGGGCCUUGUACACACCGCCCGUCACACCAUGGGAGUGGGUUGCAAAAGAAGUAGGUAGCUUAACCUUCGGGAGGGCGCUUACCACUUUGUGAUUCAUGACUGGGGUGAAGUCGUAACAAGGUAACCGUAGGGGAACCUGCGGUUGGAUCACCUCCUUACCUUAAAGA